rnacentral:tRNA from 1 species
GGGCCCGUAGCUCAGCUGGGAGAGCGCAUCGUUCGCAAUGAUGAGGCCGGCGGUUCGAUCCCGCCCGGGUCCA